rnacentral:rRNA from 1 species
UACAGAGGGGGCGAGCGUUGUUCGGAAUUACUGGGCGUAAAGGGCGCGUAGGCGGCCAGCACAAGUCAGUUGUGAAAUCUCCGAGCUUAACUCGGAAAGGUCAACUGAUACUGUGCGGCUAGAGUGCGGAAGGGGCAACUGGAAUUCUUGGUGUAGCGGUGAAAUGCGUAGAUAUCAAGAGGAACACCUGCGGCGAAGGCGGGUUGCUGGGCCGACACUGACGCUGAGGCGCGAAAGCCAGGGGAGCGAACGGG